rnacentral:rRNA from 1 species
AACGUAGGAGACAAACGUUAUCCGGAGUUACUGGGCGUAAAGCGUGAGCAGGCGGUUCGGCAAGUCCGUUGUGAAAGCCCCGGGCUCAACCCGGGGAGGCCAAUGGAUACUGCCGGACUUGAAUACGGGAGAGGUUACUGGAAUUCCUGGUGUAGCGGUGAAAUGCGUAGAUAUCAGGAGGAACACCGAAGGCGAAAGCAGGUAACUGGACCGUUAUU